rnacentral:rRNA from 1 species
AUUCUGGCUCAGGAUGAACGCUGGCGGCGUGCCUAAUACAUGCAAGUCGAGCGAGAAAUCUUUCAGACGAUCUUCGGAUGAGUCAGGAAGAUGGAAAGCGGCGGACGGGUGAGUAACGCGUAGGCAACCUGCCCUCAGCAGAGGGAUAGCCAUUGGAAAUGAUGAUUAAAACCUCAUAAUGCUGCAGUAACACAUGUUACAGCAGCCAAAGAUUUAUCGGCUGGGGAUGGGCCUGCGUCUGAUUAACUGGUUGGUGAGGUAACGGCUCACCAAGGUAACGAUCAGUAGCCGACCUGAGAGGGUGAUCGGCCACAUUGGAACUGAGACACGGUCCAAACUUCUACGGAAGGCAGCAGUAAGGAAUCUUGCACAAUGGGGGAAACCCUGAAUGCAGCAACGCCGCGUGAACGAUGAAGGCCUUAGGGUUGUAAAGUUCUGAUCUGGGGGAAGAAGAAAGUGACGGUACCCCAGGAGAAAGCCCCGGCUAAAUACGUGCCAGCCGCUGC